UACGUAGGGGGCAAGCGUUGUCCGGAAUCAUUGGGCGUAAAGAGCUCGUAGGCGGCUCGUCGCGUCGACCGUGAAAACCAGCAGCUUAACUGCUGGCUUGCGGUUGAUACGGGCGGGCUAGAGUUCGGUAGGGGAGACUGGAAUUCCUGGUGUAGCGGUGAAAUGCGCAGAUAUCAGGAGGAACACCGGUGGCGAAGGCGGGUCUCUGGGCAACAACUGACGCUGAGGAGCGAAAGCGUGGGGAGCGAACAGG
rnacentral:rRNA from 1 species